GUCCACGCCCUAAACGAUGUCAACUAGGUGUUGGGUGGGUAAAACCAUUUAGUACCGAAGCUAACGCAUGAAGUUGACCGCCUGGGGAGUACGGCCGCAAGGUUAAAACUCAAAGGAAUUGACGGGGACCCGCACAAGCGGUGGAUGAUGUGGAUUAAUUCGACGCAACGCGAAAACCUUACCUACCCUUGACAUGUCAGGAACUUUCCAGAGAUGGAUUGGUGCCCGAAAGGGAGCCUGAACACAGGUGCUGCAUGGCUGUCGU
rnacentral:rRNA from 1 species